AGAUCCACGUCCUCUGCAAUCCAGGAGGUGAUAUAUAAGGACUACUGCCUUCCAAGUCCUCAGAUUGCAGGUCCUCGCUUCUCCUCUUCAUUGAUCUGAGUUCACCUCCCUGCCUGCAGGAUGUCCUUCUCCAACCAACAGCUCAGCUCCCGCUGCUUCCCACCCUGUGAGGUGACCUGCCCGCAGCCCUUGGCCAACACCUGGAACCAGCCCUGCAUCACCUCCUGCGGGGACUCCCGUGCUGUGGUCUACCCACCACCUGUGGUCAUCACCUUCCCGGGCCCCAUCCUCAGCUCCUGCCCUCAGGAGAGCUACGUGGGCACCUCAGUGCCGCUGGAGGUUGGCCGUCCCAGGGGCCUGCAAGGUUCUCUCAUCUAUGGUGGCUCCUUGAGCUCCUCCUCCAGCCAGCACUGGAGCCAGCGCUACGGUGGCUGUGGGCCAUGUUAAGCACAGCAGAAGGUGUGGAUGGCAGGAGAAACAGCGGGGAACCUGCAGCAAGACCUGGAUGAGCUGAGGAGCACGGCACUGUGAUGCAGUGGAACCUACAGGUGCUUCUCAGCACCCCUGUGAACUGCUCUUCUGGUUGCCCUUCUCAUUCUCUGUUUGCUCUUAAUGUCAGUUUUCUCAAUACACUUCUUUCCCAUUCUUAGAAACCCAAUUCCUGAUGCUGCACAACCUGUUUCUCAUUGUUAAAGCACCAAAGCACCAGUAUCGAUGUGGAAUUGUGCAUGUAUGUUUUUAGUUGUUUGAGACCAUACAUCUUUUCCUUUGGUAGCCUUUUCUUUUGAUACGUAUUUGUCUGAUAGGAAAGAUCCGCAGAUGUCACCUUGUGCUAUGAUUUCUCAAGUCCGCUUGAAAUUGGAACCAAGAAAGAAGAACAACAUGCUGAAAAUAAAUCAGUUUAAUGCAGACUGUUAAAUUGACCUUCUUUUUUUCUUUUAACCACUGAAGUUUGUCUUGUAUUUUUCCUUUAUCUUGCUAAAAAUGUACAUUUUUUUUCUCCCAAUAAACACUUCUGAUUGCAUCCAAA